rnacentral:rRNA from 1 species
AUUGAACGCUGGCGGCAUGCUUUACACAUGCAAGUCGGACGAGUGGCGGACGGGUGAGUAAUAUAUUGGAACGUACCGAGUAAUGGGGGAUAACCAAUCGAAAGAUUAGCUAAUACCGCAUACUAUUCGAGCGGCCAAUAUCUGAUUAGCUAGUUGGUGGGGUAAAGGCCAACCAAGGCGACGAUCAGUAGCGGGUCUGAGAGGAUGAUCAGCAAAACUGGGACUGAGACACGGCCCAGACUCCUACGGGAGGCAGCAGUGGGGAAUUUUGGACAAUGGGCGAAAGCCUGAUCCAGCAAUGCCGCGUGUCUGAAGAAGGCCUUCGGGUUGUAAAGGACUUUUGUUAGGGAGGCGGUACCUAAAGAAAAAGCACCGGCUAACUACGUGCCAGCCGCCGCGGUAAUUC